GUCUCCAAACUGGGCAACAUUCUAGAAGACUUGGGCUUCGAUCUGGAGGAUGAAGAAAUUGAAGACCUGACAAACCGUCUGCCAGUUGAAGAUGGAAUGGUCAAGAUGAGUGAAAUGAUGGAGAAUGUGGAGUUGCUCACAGGAAAAAAAGUGAAUGCUGAUCAAAUAGGUGAUGUUUUGAAAGACAUAGGGAUAGCUCUCACACUUAAGGAACUCUGGG